rnacentral:rRNA from 1 species
GAUGAACGCUGGCGGCGUGCCUAAUACAUGCAAGUCGAGCGAACAGACGAGGAGCUUGCUCCUCUGACGUUAGCGGCGGACGGGUGAGUAACACGUGGAUAACCUACCUAUAAGACUGGGAUAACUUCGGGAAACCGGAGCUAAUACCGGAUAAUAUAUUGAACCGCAUGGUUCAAUAGUGAAAGACGGUUUUGCUGUCACUUAUAGAUGGAUCCGCGCCGCAUUAGCUAGUUGGUAAGGUAACGGCUUACCAAGGCAACGAUGCGUAGCCGACCUGAGAGGGUGAUCGGCCACACUGGAACUGAGACACGGCCCAGACUCCUACGGGAGGCAGCAGUAGGGAAUCUUCCGCAUUGGGCGAAAGCUUGACGGAGCAACGCCGCGUGAGUGAUGAAGGUCUUCGGAUCGUAAAACUCUGUUAUUAGGGAAGAACAAAUGUGUAAGUAACUAUGCACGUCUUGACGGUACCUAAUCAGAAAGCCACGGCUAACUACGUG